GCCUAAAAAGCCAAUGGCUUUAAGUUUCGGCCUUAAAAAUGAAAUAAUUUUUCUUUAGGUU
rnacentral:tRNA from 1 species